AUUGAACGCUGGCGGAAUGCUUUACACAUGCAAGUCGAACGGCAGAACGGGUGCUUGCACCUGGUUGCGAGUGGGGAACGGGUGAGUAAUACAUCGGAACGUACCCAGUCGUGGGGGAUAAUGUAGCAAAAGUUACGAUAAUACCGCACACGUCAUGAGUGAGAAAGCGGGGGUCCGUAAGGCCUCGCUCGAUGGGGGCCGUCGAUGGCGGAUUAACUAGGUGGUGGGGUAAAGGCCUACCAAGGCGUCGACCCGUAGUGGGUAUGAGAGGAUGACCCGCCACACUGGAACUGAGACACGGUCCAGACUCCUACGGGAGGCAGCAGUGGGGAAUUUUGGACAAUGGGCGAAAGCCUGAUCCAGCCAUUCCGCGUGGGUGAAGAAGGCCUUCGGGUUGUAAAGCUCUUUCGGCAGGGAAGAAACGGCUUGGGAUAAUACCCCGGGCUAAUGACGGUACCUGAAGAAGAAGCACCGGCUAACUACGUGCCAGCAGCCGCAGUAA
rnacentral:rRNA from 1 species